AGAGUUUGAUCCUGGCUCAGGAUGAACGCUAGCUACAGGCUUAACACAUGCAAGUCGAGGGGCAGCAUGGUCUUAGCUUGCUAAGGCCGAUGGCGACCGGCGCACGGGUGAGUAACACGUAUCCAACCUGCCGUCUACUCUUGGACAGCCUUCUGAAAGGAAGAUUAAUACAAGAUGGCAUCAUGAGUCCGCAUGUUCACAUGAUUAAAGGUAUUCCGGUAGACGAUGGGGAUGCGUUCCAUUAGAUAGUAGGCGGGGUAACGGCCCACCUAGUCUUCGAUGGAUAGGGGUUCUGAGAGGAAGGUCCCCCACAUUGGAACUGAGACACGGUCCAAACUCCUACGGGAGGCAGCAGUGAGGAAUAUUGGUCAAUGGGCGAGAGCCUGAACCAGCCAAGUAGCGUGAAGGAUGACUGCCCUAUGGGUUGUAAACUUCUUUUAUAAAGGAAUAAAGUCGGGUAUGGAUACCCGUUUGCAUGUACUUUAUGAAUAAGGAUCGGCUAACUCCGUGCCAGCAGCCGCGGUAAUACGGAGGAUCCGAGCGUUAUCCGGAUUUAUUGGGUUUAAAGGGAGCGUAGAUGGAUGUUUAAGUCAGUUGUGAAAGUUUGCGGCUCAACCGUAAAAUUGCAGUUGAUACUGGAUAUCUUGAGUGCAGUUGAGGCAGGCGGAAUUCGUGGUGUAGCGGUGAAAUGCUUAGAUAUCACGAAGAACUCCGAUUGCGAAGGCAGCCUGCUAAGCUGCAACUGACAUUGAGGCUCGAAAGUGUGGGUAUCAAACAGGAUUAGAUACCCUGGUAGUCCACACGGUAAACGAUGAAUACUCGCUGUUUGCGAUAUACUGCAAGCGGCCAAGCGAAAGCGUUAAGUAUUCCACCUGGGGAGUACGCCGGCAACGGUGAAACUCAAAGGAAUUGACGGGGGCCCG
rnacentral:rRNA from 1 species